GAGUUUGAUCCUGGCUCAGGAUGAACGCUGGCGGCGUGCUUAACACAUGCAAGUCGAACGGGAAGUAUUUCAUUGAGACUUCGGUGGAUUUGAUCUAUUUCUAGUGGCGGACGGGUGAGUAACGCGUGGGUAACCUGCCUUAUACAGGGGGAUAACAGUCAGAAAUGGCUGCUAAUACCGCAUAAGCGCACAGAGCUGCAUGGCUCAGUGUGAAAAACUCCGGUGGUAUAAGAUGGACCCGCGUUGGAUUAGCUGGUUGGUGGGGUAACGGCCCACCAAGGCGACGAUCCAUAGCCGGCCUGAGAGGGUGAACGGCCACAUUGGGACUGAGACACGGCCCAGACUCCUACGGGAGGCAGCAGUGGGGAAUAUUGCACAAUGGGGGAAACCCUGAUGCAGCGACGCCGCGUGAAGGAAGAAGUAUCUCGGUAUGUAAACUUCUAUCAGCAGGGAAGAUAGUGACGGUACCUGACUAAGAAGCCCCGGCUAACUACGUGCCAGCCGCCGCGGUAAUUC
rnacentral:rRNA from 1 species